GAAAGCAAAAUCAAUACAACAACGUCACAACAAAAUCCUGACAGACAGCUCACCCACCGCACCGAACUAUCUAACAAGUGUUAUUAUGUACAACCUAUCAAACAACACUUCAGGCAAGAGUUAGAUGACUCAACUAUAUCUACGUCUGAUGAUCCUGAGGUUUACAUGUUAAAACCUCCCAACGGUUGGAUAUAUUUACGCAGCAUCCCAGUUAAUACACUUGUUUUCUCUUUCUCUAUUGUAACAGCGGAGGCGCUAGUCGAGUGAGAAAACUCUAACAAUAACAGUUACUCGGUUUCGUUUUCUUUAUCAUUUAGACUCCUUAUACAGAGAGGUCACGCGUUCACCUUCAUUUUCCUGAACACAAAUACAAACUUAAACAGGACAAAUGACACAACAGCAUUAGAAGCUAACCAGCGUUUUUUGCUAGGUUAACUAAGCGAACAUUAACCCAGCGUUAUAUCAUGGCAGGCUAACGCUAGCUAGCAUGGCUCAAUGGACUCUCGGCAGACUGGCGUUGGUCAAAACUUAACAGCAACCUGCUUUAUAAUAAGACAGCAGGAAGGGACCUUCCCGUAGCCGUGACCGUGUCAGCUAACCAACUGUACAACAGCCUUAUUGUUGGUAACGGAGUGCGGCCAGGCCAUUGUCAAAGGGACUGCCCAUGUGUCCACCGCACCUCUGUGAAAAAGCGUGGAAAAGACGUACCUGCAAAUUCCAGCCGGCGGACUCCAGGAAAAAACGGGCCCUCUCCUCAUCCACAUCAGUAACAGCGACGAACUCCCUCACAGACUCCUCUUGGCUCGCCAUUUUGA